GAUGAACGCUGGCGGCGUGCCUAAUACAUGCAAGUCGAGCGAACAGACGAGGAGCUUGCUCCUCUUACGUUAGCGGCGGACGGGUGAGUAACACGUGGCUAACCUACCUAUAAGACUGGGAUAACUUCGGGAAACCGGAGCUAAUACCGGAUAAUAUAUUGAACCGCAUGGUUCAAUAGUGAAAGACGGUUUUGCUGUCACUUAUAGAUGGAUCCGCGCCGCAUUAGCUAGUUGGUAAGGUAACGGCUUACCAAGGCAACGAUGCGUAGCCGACCUGAGAGGGUGAUCGGCCACACUGGAACUGAGACACGGUCCAGACUCCUACGGGAGGCAGCAGUAGGGAAUCUUCGGCAAUGGGCGAAAGCCUGACGGAGCAACGCCGCGUGAGUGAUGAAGGUCUUCGGAUCGUAAAACUCUGUUAUUAGGGAAGAACAAAUGUGUAAGUAACUAUGCACGUCUUGACGGUACCUAAUCAGAAAGCCACGGCUAACUACGUG
rnacentral:rRNA from 1 species